AUAUAGUAAAAGUAUUUGACUUUGGGGCUGGUCUUCAAGUGAUAGCAAUGCAAGAUGGCAGUUACCACAGGCUUGGGAGUAAACGUCCCUCAAAAUUUCCCACUGUUAGAAGAGCUGGAAGAAGGUCAGAAAGGAGUAGGCAACAGCACAGUUUACUGGGGUCUGGAGGACAACAAGGAUGAUACACAAGAUGAACAGGAUGAUAAUUGGGCUUCGAAGGACAAUUUAUGAAAACUGAAAUACACCCUUAAAAUAGAAUGUGGGCCUAAGUAUCCAGAAGCUCCCCCAUCUGUAAGAUUUCUAACAAGAGAUAAUAUGAGCAAUGUGAGCAGUUCAAGUGGGGUCCAAGAGCCAUAGCAUUGUUGGCAAAGUGGCAGAAUUCCCACAGCAUUAAAGUCAUCCUGCAGGAACUGAGGGACUUGAUGCUGUCAAAAGAGAACAUGAAGCUGCCACAGAUGCCAGAAGGACAGUGUUCUAGCAAUUAGUCACAAAAGCCCCAGCCUCCCCUCCCCAUGCAACCCAAGUCUUCAUAUUCAACAGUAGUGAAUUUUCUAGAUCCAUCUGUAGACCUCAAAGUACUGGAGAGGAAGCCCCAUUCAGACUUCAUCCUGAGACACUGCUCUGACACUAACAUCUUGUCCAUUUGAAAUAGUAAGUUGUGCUGUGUAACAUCAUCUGUCUGGUGUAACCGCUGUCAGCCUGAUUAAACUUCUGGGAUCAA
rnacentral:lncRNA from 1 species